rnacentral:rRNA from 1 species
ACCUGCGGAAGGAUCAUUAACGAAUUCAAAGUCGGCCUYGUUGUGCUGGUGGRAACACAUGUGCACACUUGGUCGCAAAUCCACACACCUGUGCAYCUAUGACUCGAGGUUGUCGUCGUAUGACCAAGAGUAACUUUUACACACUCUUGAAUGUAAUGGAAUGUCUAUGUGCAUAAUGUACAAUGAAAACAACUUUCAACAACGGAUCUCUUGGCUCUCGCAUCGAUGAAGAACGCAGCGAAAUGCGAUAAGUAAUGUGAAUUGCAGAAUUCAGUGAAUCAUCGAAUCUUUGAACGCACCUUGCACCCUUUGGUAUUCCGAAGGGUACACCCGUUUGAGUGUCAUUGUAAUCUCACUUCRACGACUUUAUUGUUGUUUGAAUGUGGACUUGGACGUCUGCCGUGUAACAAYGGCUCGUCUUAAAUGCCUGAGUGUACCCCGCUUUGCGGCGUAUUCGGUGUGAUAAACAUUUCACCGGAGUUUGGUCUUUAKUGACCGCGCUUUUAGCAAUUGGUGGGCUCUAUGCUUUCGAACCGUCUGCCUCUGUGGACAAUCUCUUGACAAUUUGACCUCAAAUCGGGUGGGACUACCCGCUGAACUUAAGCAUAUCAAUAGCCGGAGGAAAAGAAACUAACAGGAUUCCCCUAGUAACGGCGAGUGAAGAGGGAAAAGCUCAAAUUUUGAAUCUGGUGUCUUUGGCGCCCGAGUUGUAAUCUAGAGAAGUGUUUUCCGUGUCGGACCGUGUACAAGUUCCCUGGAACGGGGCGUCAUAGAGGGUGAGAAUCCCGUAUAUGCCACGGACUACCGAUGCUCUGUGAUACACUCUCAACGAGUCGAGUUGUUUGGGAAUGCAGCUCAAAAUGGGUGGUAAAUUCCAUCUAAAGCUAAAUAUUGGCGAGAGACCGAUAGCGAACAAGUACCGUGAGGGAAAGAUGAAAAGCACUUUGGAAAGAGAGUGAAACAGUACGUGAAAUUGUUGAAAGGGAAGCGUUUGAAGUCAGUCACGUUUGUUGGGAUUCAGCCUGGCUUCUGCCUGGUGUAUUUCCUUUCCAACGGGUCAGCAUCAGUUUCGACCGAGGGAAAAAGACAUUUGGAAUGUGGCUGUCUUCGGGCAGUGUUAUAGCCUUGUGUUGUAUGUCUCGGUUGGGACUGAGGAACGCAGCGCGCCAUUUUGGCCGGGGGUCGCUCCUCUCGACACGCGCUUAGGAUGCUGGCAUAAUGGCUUUAAGCGGCCCGUCUUGAAACACGGACCAAGGAGUCUAACAUGUGCGCGAGUGUUUGGGUGUUAAACCCGAGCGCGAAAUGAAAGUGAAAGGUCGGGAACAUUCAUUUGUGCACCGACGCCCGGAGCAGACCUUCUGUGACGCAUCCGCGGUAGAGCGUGUAUGUUGGGACCCGAAAGAUGGUGAACUAUGCCUGAAUAGGGUGAAGCCAGAGGAAACUCUGGUGGAGGCUCGUAGCGAUUCUGACGUGCAAAUCGAUCGUCAAAUUUGGGUAUAGGGGCGAAAGACUAAUCGAACCAUCUAGUAGCUGGUUCCUGCCGAAGUUUCCCUCAGGAUAGCAGAAACUCGUAUCAGCCUUGUGCGGUAAAGCGAAUGAUUAGAGGCCUUGGGGUUGAAACAACCU